UUUUCAACACUCUCAAUCUUGAAUCAAUUUUUCUUGGUGGAUCAAAAGUGAAGAAAGGAAAUCAAAGAAUUGAAUACAAAAUUCUAGGGUGGAGGUGAUUGAUCCAUUGCGUCGGUGAACAGACAACUCUGGCUGCAAGCUGAGGCCAAGCGUUGAACACUUGCUCCUUUACAGCUAUGAGCACACACACAUACAGUCUAGAGAGACCCACAUACCAAACCAAGCCUUACCCAUUUCCGAUUUACCUGUCUCCUUUCCCUUUUAUCUAAAUCAGUUUUGUUUGUGAAAAAGGGACCAACCGCCCAACCCAC
rnacentral:lncRNA from 1 species